UAAAAUUAUGUACUAGAAUUUCUGUUAUCGUUUACCUUAUCCAUCUCUAAAUGUACACUUAUAUCGAGCGUACCACCAAUAUCAACUAAUGCCAGUUGAUACCUUGGAACACAUGGAUCAUCCAAAUCUUCAUCUGACAUAUGAAAUUCAUUUUUGACAAGAUCAACUCCACUGUAUGAUUUAUUACUUUUGUUUUCAUCAUGAUGAGAAUUACCUUCAUAGCAGACACUGGUUCCAUAAUCUUCAGCGUGUCUACAUGGUGUUUUCCAUCGUACACACGAAUACCGUAUC